rnacentral:lncRNA from 1 species
UCUUAUAGUCCAUUUUGUUCGACUGACCUCCAACAAACUUUCCGGCCGACGAUCAGUGAUGAUUCUGGCAACCAAAAGCUAUUACCACCGAUAACAAAAGAUACUACCACUAGCAACAAAAGCUACUACGACCAGCAAAUAAAGCUAUUACCACUGACAACAAAAGAUACUACUGACAACAAUAAAAUCUACUGACACCAGCAAAGAAAGCUACUACCAUUGACAACAAAAGAUACUACUGUCGGUAACAAAAGCUACGACCAGCAAAGAAAGCUACUACCACUGACAACAAAAGAUACUACCGACAACAAUAAAAACUACUGUCACCAGCAAAAGAAAGCUACUACCACUGACAACAAAAGAUACUACUAUCAGUAACAAAAGCUACUUCCACCAACAAUAAAAAAUACUACCACUAGCAACAAAAACUAUUACGGUGAGAUUUCUGACAAAAUCUGGCAAGGUCACAAAAGAUAUUAUCGCUAGCAACAAAAGUUACUACUAAGCAAAACAAAAACUACUACCAAGUAUCACAAAAACUACUAUUACCAGCAACGAAAGCUACUACCAAGCAGAAAAAAAAACUACUACCAAGCAGAAGAAAAGCUACUACCAAGUAGAACACAAGUUAUGAAAGCUAUUUUUAGAGACCUACAAAACUAUGAAAUGUAAACGAUACGACUAAUAAAAAUGUUACUACAAUCAAGAGAAUAUAAUAAAUUCCAUGGUACAAAAAGUAUGAAGCCUUCUACAUUGAUAUAGUCAUGUACAAAGAUUACAUAAAACUACUAAUGUAGUUCCAGAAGUCUACUACAAUAGUUUUAUAAAGCUACUAUCAGUUUUCUAUGGAUGAUACUUAACACUCAUAGGCAUACUUUGUAAUACCCCGGAAAUUUGAUAUUAGUUUCUAAUUUUAUUUAGGAAUUUUUGAGUUAGAAGUUAGUGUGUUUUGAAGUUCGAAGGAAGAGCGGAAGGGUUCGGAUGCGUAAAUUGCCUGAACCGGUUUUAUGGUUCUGAAGGGUCAAGAGUUGACUUUCUAAUCCGUUGGGUUUCUCGAGAAACUUCCUUCACGAAAGUUGUAGAGCACGACGAUACGAGUUCGUAGACACGUGGCACGUGUAAAACGGACUUCGUAUGAGAAAGUUAUGGUCAGCAGAAGUUGUGGCUUUUCGGGAAUAUUUAGGUUAAAUAGGAAAAUUUCGUCUUGGGUUCUCUUAUUUUUCAGAAUUCCUUUUCUUCCCCUUUCUUCUCUCUCCCUGACCCCGAGAGAACCCAAGCUUCCCAGCCGACCCGACCCGGACCCGGUUGACCCGACCCGGAUUUUCCGGCCAUCUUCGGCCGACCCAGGCGACAGCACCGUUCGGAGUC